AUGUUCCCACAGCCCUGUGCGUGGAGACGUCGUAUCUUCGCUCCAUCUGUUCCAUGCUCCAGCCCUCUGCUGAGACGUGUUGAAGGUGGAAUCUCUGGGGUGUGCUGGAAGUCAUUCUCUCCUUCCCACCAAAGCCACUCCCCGCCACACACAUGCACCUCUUGCCCACACAACCACGGCUGGGGGGGUUCCACCUGCACCCCUAAAGCCUUAGCCCCUGUGCACACAGAUUCCAUAGUGAUGAAAGAUUUGGACCCCAUCCCCGGUGUCGAGGCUUCCAAGGAUGAGCGUGGCCCCUUAGUGGCCUUGUUUGGGGUGGCAGCGGUGAGAGGAGAAACAGAGCAAGAGGGAGACUUCGUGAGCUCCGAGGGAACACCUUGCUCUAUCCGGGCCCUGCACAGCCCGCCUUACUACACUCUUCCUACCCGUCUACUGAGUUCAAGCCACUUCUCACCAAACCCACCAGGAUGAGGCCCCAGAAGAAGCUGUGGGAUCGAGGUGGUUUCCCAGCACGGGAAAAAUGUGGUCAUUGAGGUGUUGGCGUGCACGCCCUGCCCACAGGUGCAUGCUGGAACCGGGGGAUGAGCUGGCACAGGCAAUUUCCUUAAACCCUGCAGGUGGAGAAGGCAAGACAGGACAGUGCUGCUGCCAUCUAGCCUUCCACACACGCCCACACCCGUGCACACAGCCCCCCCACACACUCAUGCACGCUCCCUCAUGCACACACGUGCACACAUAUGCUCGCAGUCCUCAUGCACCUGCUCAUGCACCCGCAUGCUUGCACACAUGCACAAGCACAAACUCUCACGCACGCCUCAAAUACGGAGAGAAUCUCGCUCAACACAGCAGCUUGGAAAAGUCUUCAGUUCCUGCCUGCAGCGUGGGGCGGGGGUUUCCUCAUCAGCUGUGCCCCAGGGUUCCUGUCUAUUGGGCAAAGGUUUCUCUGUAGGGCACUUGAGCUUUGGCUUUCACGUAGGGGAAAAGACAGUGCUUCAUGGGGAGGGAGAAGCCCCCAACUCUUCAAUGGCAUGUGGAGUAAACCAGCCACAGACAGGCAAUGGCACUCACAGGCACCCACCCAGCACCUUCCCUGCCUGACACCAUGGCCUUGGAGCCAGGAGACAGUGUUUGCCCGGGAGGGCAAAGCAACC
rnacentral:lncRNA from 1 species